CAGCAGCCGCGGGAAUACGUAGGUGGCAAGCGUUGUCCGGAAUUAUUGGGCGUAAAGCGCGCGCAGGUAGUUUAAUAAGUCUGAUGUGAAAGCCCACGGCUCAACCGUGGAGGGUCAUUGGAAACUGUUAAACUUGAGUGCAGGAGAGAAAAGUGGAAUUCCUAGUGUAGCGGUGAAAUGCGUAGAGAUUAGGAGGAACACCAGUGGCGAAGGCGGCUUUUUGGCCUGUAACUGACACUGAGGCGCGAAAGCGUGGGGAGCAAACGGGAUUAGAUACCCCCGUAGUCCCUGUCUCUUAUAC
rnacentral:rRNA from 1 species